rnacentral:rRNA from 1 species
UUCAUUCAGGUAUUUGGGUGCCUUCUUUGGUGAAGGUGGAAUACAACCCCCAAAAGUUUCAUUGUUAACUUUUUUAGACCGCAUUCGAAAAGCACCAUUGAAGCCCCAACAGAAACUCUAUCUAAUUAGAGUUCAUUUAAUACAUAAGUUCAUUCACCCUCUGGUUAUGACACCGUUAAAGUCUACACUCUUGCAUCAGUUAGAUCGUAUGAUACGUGUUGCACUAACAGGUAAAACGGGAAUCCUACACUUGCCAAUGUCCGUGCCUUCUGCGUUUUUCUAUGCGCCAGUGGGAGAAGGGGGACUGGGGAUGAUGGAAUUAAGAACAUCAAUACUUGCGAUGACCGUCUCGAGGUAUGAAAAAAUGAUAAGUUCGGAUAGCCCUUUUGUACGUUGCGCGGCAUCAGGUGCUAUAAAUAUGAAUAGAUUAGCGAAGGCCAAAUUAAUGCUAAGGAUGACUCUCGAAGGAAGAAAAGUGACUUCUUCGUUAGCUCAGAAAUAUCAAACAGAAAGACUACACACUUGCUAUGAUGGUUUACCAUUACGCAAUGCGGGUAAGUCAAAAUAUUCUCAUAAAUGGAUUAGUGAUGGCUCAACAAUAAUGUCUGGCAGACAUUUUGUGAGGCUCUUAAGGUUCGCAUUAAUGCCUUGCCAACAUUAGCUAGAUUCCAUAGAGGACAGAAUAGACCUAAAGAAUGUAGGGCGGGAUGUAAAGCAAUUGAGACGCAAAAUUAUGUGUUACAAGUUUGCCCAAGAACACAUGAUGUACGAGUCGCUAGACAUAACAAAGUCACUAACCGUCUUGCGGGAUUUUUAGAGCAACGAGGUAAUGUAGUUCACAGAGAGACCAGAAUUAGCACGUCGGAGGGCCUUCGAAAACCGGAUCUAAUUUCUAUCAAGGACGGAACGGCCACAGUUAUUGAUGUUCAAGUGGGUGGUAGCUCAAAUUUAGACGCAGCUCAUGACGCGAAAGUCUCAUACUAUCGACGCAAUAAAGAGAUUUCAGAAUGGGCUAAGGGCAAAGGGGCAAUCACGACCAAGUUUACAGCGAUGGUCAUCAGUCCACUUGGAAUAAUUUCACCCAAGUCUUUUAAAGAAUUGGAGCGAAUGCGCCUAUCAGAAGGAAUGAUCAAAUCAUUGGUGGUAAGUGCUCUGGAACAAACGACGUAUGUCUGGCAUAUCUUUAAUAGAAGCACGGCUUUUUCCUGGCAAAAACGUAAACAUCGGUAAAAGGAUGUUUACAACGGCUUUAGAGUAGUUUUCUGGGGCGGUUGUUGUUAACACGAACACUAAGUGGGGGAUUCCCCGUAUGAUGGCUUCGAAAGUUGCCGGAUAUGUCUGUAGGGCAGACGCGGAAGAUCCUCCCUCCAUCAUUCGCUGAGGAUGACUCAACCUCAGAGAUCAAAAAUGAGAAACAAGUUCAGCUAUGAUUAAGUCUCAAAGAGAUCGAGACCGAAGGCAUACCGAAUCCUACCUUGAGACUAAUCGUUGGUAGUUGAGAUGUGGUGUUGUCAAGGCUAAACAAGAAAUAGCCAAAUGCCUCGUCAUCUAAUUAGUGACGCGCAUGAAUGGAUUAACGAGAUUCCCACUGUCCCUAUCUACUAUCUAGCGAAACCACAGCUAAGGGAACGGGCUUAGGCUCAUCGGCGGGGAAAGAAGACCCUAUUGAGCUUGACUCUAGUCUAGUACUGUGAGGAGACACGAGAGGUGUAGCAUAAGUGGGAGACUUCGGUCGUCUUUGAAAUACCACUACUCCCGUCGUUUCCUCACUUACUCGGUGAGGCGGGAAGCGACUACUCUCUUAUUCGUAAGGUGUAGUCGGAAUUGUAGCGUCAAGUCUCUAGUCUCUUAGAGAGCGGGUGUUUUUUAGAGAAUGGAUGUUUGUAGGCAACUAUGGACAUUUCUUUGAAAAUUAAUGCUGAGACGACUCGAUCCGAGGACAAUGCUAGGUGGGUAGUUUGACUGGGGCGGUACAUCUGUCAAAUGAUAACGCAGGUGUCCUAAGGCCAGCUCAGCGAGGACAGAAACCUCGCGUAGAGCAAAAGGGCAAAAGCUGGCUUGAUCCUGAUUUUCAGUACGAAUACGGACUGCGAAAGCACGGCCUAUCGAUCCUUUUGGCUUCAAGAGUUUUGAGCAAGAGGUGUCAGAAAAGUUACCAUAGGGAUAACUGGCUUGUGGCGGCCAAGAGUUCAUAUCGACGUCGCUUUUUGAUCCUUCGAUGUCGGCUUUUCCUAUCAUUGCGAAGCAGAAUUCGCCAAGCGUUGGAUUGUUCACCCACCAAUAGGGAACAUGAGCUGGGUUUAGACCGUCGUGAGACAGGUUAGUUUUACCCUACCGAUGGAGUUGGUCGUUGCGAUAGUAAUCCUGCUCAGUACGAGAGGAACCGCAGGUUCGGACAUUUGGUUCACGCGCUCGGUCGAUCGGCCGGUGGCGCGAAGCUACCAUCCGCGGGAUUAUGCCUGAACGCCUCUAAGGCAGCAUCCCAUCUAGACGAAGCAACGAUAUUUUUGCGUUUUGAUUGUCACAAGGCCGAAAUUCGUCCUUUUAUGGUAGGUAGUUUAUGUUUAGGUCCAUGAAGUUGGUCCUCAUAUUCUACAGCCUAGCCAGAUUCGUAUGGGGUGGGAAACCAGCUACCUUCAUAGCAAUAAUUAUCGUUAUGUUGGUCGUCCCCAAGACGCGGAUCAUUUAAGGUGAUGUCAGAACGUAGAAUCGUCUGUAGACGACUUACGUACCGGCCGGGGUGUCGUACUCGGUAGAGCAGUUCCCAUGCUGCGAUCCGUUGAGACUCAGC